rnacentral:lncRNA from 1 species
GAAGCCUAGGAGGAGGUAUAUGUUAUUUGGACCUUUAUAUUUUAAUAGUUUUAUUUUCCUUUUCAGUUUCAGUGAAGGCUUCAGCUGUAUGUGAACAUUUAUGACAAAAUGCACUCGAGCAUCUAGAGUCAUCUUAAGAUGGAAAUUACUUUUCUUCAUAGUUGGAUAGCUUCAAGUUGGCUAUGAUGAUUUUUAUAUCCUGUGUCCAAACAAAGAAGAAAAUAACCCAUCCUUCCAAAACCCAAGACCAUGUCCAUGUGCAUUGGAGGCACAAGACUGAAUGAGAGAAACUGUGUUAAAGUCAGAUUCCAUUGGCAUGUCUGUCCGCUUUUGCAAAGAACAUGUUGGUGGAAACAUGUUCCACAUGUCAGUGGUUACCCUGAUUCUUUGAAUUUAAUGGUGGGGCUGGCAAAGAAAGCUGGAGCAUUUGGGAAGCCUGAAGCCUGCCCUUCCUGGCAGCAUCAGAAAGCAAGGGGAGAUGUUGGUGUACAGGCAAAAGUCAGCUCUCAACACAGGUGAUGGAGGACUGUGUAUGUAGCCAGGGAUAAAGAAUCCAGGAGGGGCCUGAAGAUGGGUGGAACCAAUGAAAUGAAUCAUCCCAGGUGUAUCAUCUCUUGUUUGGAAAUAUCCUAGCCCAUUCCUACCUUCCUUUUGUUUAAACCACCUCCUUUUCUGAAUGGCUGUGCCUUUUCAUUCUUGUCUUCUGAUCAUGCACGGACUCCGGCUCCCAGCUUGACCUGAGCGUUUGCAGGAAGCACACUAAGGUUUGGGGCUCUCUAGAGACACGGUUUUGACUCCAGGGCUGGAGGAAACAUCACUACCAGAAGUGGAUGUAUACUUCGAGGAGGAAGGUCUUGGAUUUCCAGGGAGUAGGCGGUCAUCUGUGCCGCAGGUUGGUGUUGGCCAUGAUCACACCAAGUCUCACUGAGUCACAAUGAGAGGAAGCUACACAGAGACAUAACAAGUGAGAAUGGCAGGAGCGUGCCUGGUUAAUGACAGGGAGUGGCAUUUGUUCAACGGCACACAUUCAUUUAUCCCAUUUUAAAAUGGUGCCACCGAGCUGCAAGGCAAGGAAGCUACUGAACUUACCAUCCACAAACACCUGGUGUACUGAUAAUUGUUGCUGCUUGCUUAACUUUGUUUUUCCUAGUCAGUAGAUCCAGAAUAGAAGUCAGUUCCCCUUCCCUUUUAUUCAAAAGAAUUCAUUUAAUCAGGACUUCUAAAGUGAAGUUUUCCAAAAAACUUUAAAAAAUAUUCAUUUUAAAUUUUUGUGGGUACAUAGUAGGUAUAUAUAUAUAUUUAUGGGGUACAUGAGAUGUUUUGAUAUACGCAUACAAUGCAUAAUGACCUUAUCAGGUAAACAGUGAGUCCAUCAGCUCAAGCAUUUAUCCUUUGUGUUACAAACAAUCCAAUUACACUCUAUCAGUAAUUUUAAAACAUACAAUUAUUUUUGACUACAGUCAUCCUGUUGUGCCCCCAUAUGCUAGGUCUUAUUCAUUCUUUCUUACUAUCUUUUUGUACCCAUUAACCGUCCCCCUACCACUUCUCCCACCAUCCUUCCCAGCCUCUGGUAACCAUCCUUCUACUCUCUAUCUCCAUGAGUUCAGUGGUUUUAGUUUUUAUCACCCACAAAUAAGUGAGAACAUGCAAAGUUUGUCUUUCUGCCAAGACAUGUUUUUAAAUUGAGGUAAAAUUCAUGUAACAUAAAAUUUACCAUGUUAGCAACCUUACAGUAUACAAUCUACUGGAUUUUAAUACUUUCCCUAUGCGCUGUGCACUAUCACCUCUACCUAGAUCCCGAACAUUUCACCCCCCACGAAAAUGAAACAAUGCGCCCAUCAGUAGACACUCUUCCUUCUCCCACCCAGUCCCUGGCAAGCGCUAAUCUAUUCCUGUCUCAAUUGACUUGUGAAUUCUGGACAUUUCACGGAAGUGCAAUCAUACAGUACGUGGCCCUGAUGUGGGGUUUCUUUCACUCAGCGCAGCAACUUCAAGCUUCUUUCAUGCUGCAGCAUGUAUUAAUACUUCAUUCCUUUUAAUGGCAAAAUAAGUCCCGUUAGCUGGAUCUACUGCAUUUUGUUUAUCCAUCAUUGCUUGAUGUACUUUGGGACUGUUUCCACCAUUUGGUUAUAGCGAUACAUUAAAUACCUUUCUUUUGUUAUUUUUGCCACACAUCUUCGAAAAUAGACAACUCAUUCUUCUGAACACAUCCCGGAAUACAUGUUCUCGGUAGAUUCUUGUCCAGGAUUAAAUAAUGGCCUUUAUUUUCUUAAUAUCCUUUUUGACAAUUGGGAUAAGGCAGCCAGAAGGUAACUGACUUCUAUCAAGUUAUGGAGCACAUCGUACAGAGGCGAAUGUAGGCCUUUCCAAUUCUUGUCCCCAGAUGGACUUGUGUGACUCUGCUGAGGUUAAUUCUUUGCAGCACGCCUAUCCCUCACGCAUGCACGAAGUUCUGGAAGUCUCCCCUGCUACAUGUUGCUGUGUAAUUGUGGCCUGACUUAUCCACCAUGAGCAUGAAGACUGUGACUCAGCAGAGAUCAAGGCCACAGCAGGCAUCCUUACACACCCAUGUUUAGAUGUGCAGAAGCUGGGAGCCUGUGUUUGUGAGAAGGAAGACAGGCUUAGGAUUGAGACUCUAAGCCUGGUGCUUGAUGGGAAUGUGGGGACAGAUAACGCCCAAGGAAAUUACAGGAGUAAGAGGGUUAUCUGGAGCAGGAAAACGUGCCAGAACCUUUCUCAAGAGCCUCCUGAAGACUUCAGGACUCUGGACAGGCCACCUGCUGAAGGACACUGACCCCAGCAGCGGUGUCUCCACCAAGAAAGGAACAGUGAGCAAUGAACAGCACCGAUUCCUACACUGAGCCUCUGUGACCUGUGGACUUUGUUUCAAAACAGCUUGUGUGGGCUUCCUUUUGUCCAUAAAAGCUUCCCCUUUGUCCCGGCCCCCUUGCUAGGACUGUGAUCAUCGUAGAAUGCACAUCCCAAGUUGUGGCUCCCUCCACUAUUUCCAAAUAAACUUUC